rnacentral:lncRNA from 1 species
CAACAUCGCAUCAAAUAAAAUUAAAGAAAAUUACAAAUAAGAGAGGGGGACCAAGUCAAAACCUCCCAAAAGGAAAAGCAAGUAAAGAGCACUCUUAAUUAAAAAUCCAAUUAGGAUUCCUAGAGCCUAACUGAAAUCAAUUAAAAGUAAAUAUAACAUUUAAAAAAAGAGAGAGAAAAAAAUGAAGGGCUUAACGCCUUAAAGUAGAAUGAAACACAAAGCGAAAUGAUAAUGCCCUCUAGCUCUAUUUCUAAUUAUCAUUGGGUGCCUGACUUUCUUCUAGUAACGAGUUUAAAAUCUUCAUCAUUUUCAGUUUGGGAAGUGUUAGCAUCCAUCGCUAAAUCUUCCCUCCAAGGAGCGGCAACGAGAGUUGUUGCAAGGCUGGUAUCCCACGAAUCGAUCAAAUACAUACACCCAUGAAGGCUAUUUCGUCCUCAACAAUAUUCCUUUUUUUCACUGUAGAAGGAGGUGACUGUAGAAAACAACAAACCAAAAAUGAAGAAUGGAGGAGAAAGAGAGAGAACCGAUUGAUGGCAGCCUCCAAACUUAGGACAAAACGUAAGAUUACAAUGAUUAAUAUAGUACAAAACUAAGGAAACAUAAGAAGACUAAACUACCCUUAACCUAAUUAACUUAUUAAGUUAACAUCCCUCCUCAAACUCACAAUGCUACGACAAGGAGCAACGAGAGUUUGACCAACAAAAAGCGUAAAUGAUAAAUCGAAUUUGACUUCACGGCAAAAUCUACAAGCUGCAACGACGGAGAGCAACGAAAGGUAGGGAAAUGAUGCCGAACUGCAGAUAACCAACGAAACCACACAAUCUCAGCUAAGCCAAACGGAUGCAAAUUUCAAAUUCCAAAUGAACGUGACAUAUCAAUUCCAAGAACUGACUAUGCCAAAUUCCAAACUCCAGAUAGACUGGACAAACGAAAUUUCUAAUCCCAUAAACUGAGCAAACAAACGAAAUUCCCAAAUCCCGUUAACCGGGCAUCAAACAAAAUUUUCAAUCCCACAAACUGGGCACAAAUUUCCAAUUCAAACUCGACAAAUGCAAAAUUUAAGGCAACCACCCCUAACAUCACAUCCCCAUCUUUCUCGUCACAAUGAACUCAUCAAAAUCAGCAUAGCAACAGUAUCCCAAAAUUCAAACUUUGGCUCCUCUUCUCCAUCCAUUCAUCCAUUGAAAGCCCAAAUAAAACUAAACCCAUACUCAAACAAUAACCAAGCCCAACAGUAAACUCAAUUGACCAAAACCCAAGUUAAAACCCAACUCAUAAUCUAUAGCCCAAAUAAUAUUUCCACCCAAUCAAACAAGCCCCAUUUAACUCAAGCCCAACCUUCAGCCCAAUUGCUCACAAAUAGGUUAACUUAAAACAUAUACUACAGGCUACAGCCCAUGUGCCAUUUAACAAAAUAUCCAAUUAAAUUACUGGCACAUUAGCCCAAUGACCAUCCCAGCAGGCCGAACUAACCAAUCCACUAAACCACAAACGCAUAAAUUUCGUCCCAACAAACAAACAACCCAUAACUAACCAGCCCAAGUAUUAUCAACUAGCCCAAUCUACAACUUUGGCCUAUUUCGGCAAACCCAUCAACCCGGCAAGCCAACAUAAACAAAUCCAUAUUUUAUUAACCAAAACCCACAUAUCAUAGACCCAAUUUCAUGCUCCAGCAGUCCAGUACCCAUAACCCACGAAACCAAACCUGGCCCAAUCUCCCUAACUUCAUCUUCUCCAGCAUUGCGGCUGCGACUGCCUCUCGUCGACACCAACCCACAUCCAACAUUACCAACCACCAUAUGUGCCACUUCUUACAACCAUAAUACUGUACCGACCCCCCCUACCCCAAAAAAACAUUUUUUUUUAAAACAGUUUUGAAAAAUAGAAUGGACUCGAUUUUGGCAUGGGCUAAUAAAAAUUUAGGGAAGUAGCCCAAAUCUAAAAAUAAUUUUAGCAGCCCAGGAAAAAAUACUGCAAAUGGAAGGCCCAAUUAAAUCAAUCACCAACCCAAGAGCCCAAUUACUCACAAAUCACAGUCCAAUUAAAAACUCAUUAAGCCUCAACCACAGAAGCCCUACAGCAACCGUCCGCCACUCUACGCCGCUGACAUCUGCCUUCUUCUCCAUGGGUCUCGUCGCCGGCCACCACUUCUCCAACUCCUAACUCCUACAACAACAAUACUUAAACAACCUAUAAACCACUGCUACACCAGAGCAAGGGACCACAGAUUUCGAUGACUUCGAAGAAGAAUUGAAUGCCGGAAACACAAGUCACAAGCCCAGCAAAACACUGAAGAAAUCGGUAGUCCACAAUAGGAAAAAGCACAGAUCUUUCGGACCAAUAUGCCCUCCCUAUCACCGAAUCGCUGUUGCAGUCUCAAUCGAACAGAUUUGGGAGGCCAACUCAUGACAGAAACCGAACCUAGACAACCUUUCCUUUUUCUUUUUUUAUUCCCAAGCAGCCUGCAAUUUUUCGGUUUCGGUGGGAAUUAUAUAUGUAUCCAAAUAAGCCUUUCAACCACUUUUGUGUUCCAAUUUUAGAAUCCAAUGCUGCCGCCCACUUCAUUUGUUUAUUAAGAAAUCCAAUUCUCUAAUUCCAGCCGCCCAACUUCUCUACUUGCUUCUGUUUUCUGUGCUUGUAAUUUAAUGAAUUCAGCCACUUAAUUUCCAGCCUCCAUCGCCUUUUCGAAUAACCUAAAUUAACAAACAAAUGGACCUCCAAUUCUCACAGAAAGCAUCGGUGAAAUUGAGGCGUAUUUAUUCCAGAUAGUACUAAGAAGGGUCUGACCCAUUUGCCGAACAGAAGAAGACUCCAUCAGUUUAACACAAAAGGAGAUUUGAAAUUGACAAUAGCAGACUGGGAUUUUUUUUGGUUGCAGAGGAGAUUGGGAACGAGAAAUAUGUGUGGGAAUGAGAAAUAUGUGAAGAAACGUAAAGAAAAAAAUUAAACCACAGAAAAAAAUUUGACCAACGGCCGGACGAGCGGCAUGAGGCCGCUCGCCUGAGAACGGAAGUUUGCUAGUGUUAACCCAAAAUCAAACCCACUCUGAUAUCACGUAGAAAACAACAUACCAAAGAUUAAGAAUGGAGGAGAAAGAGAGAUAAUCGAUUGAUGGCAGCCUCCAAACUUAGGGCAAAAUGUAAGAUUAUAAUGGUUUAUAUAGUACAAAACUAAGGAAACAUAAUAAGACUAAACU